CCAGAAGAGAAUCCUAGCAGCCAUAUAUACUUCUGCACUCUAUAAAUGGCCUAACACACACAGAGACAGUAGUAGUUCAAUAAGUUCACACACUUGACACUUGAGAUAGCUAACGAGUGAGAGACUGAGACGUGGUCCUAGUGAACUAUCGAUAGUCGUCCGUCGAUCAUGGGUCUUGUUCUGACCUUGCUAGUGCUGCUGGUGAUCAUGUCGUCGUCUACGUCAACCACGGUGGCGGAGCAUCACCGGAUCAGGAGCAACGACACCGACCUCGCCGCGCUGCUUGCCUUCAAGGCUCGGGUCUCUGACCCUCUGGGCUUCCUGCGUGACGGCUGGAGGGAGGACAAUGCAUCCUGCUUCUGCCAGUGGAUCGGCGUGUCGUGCAGCCGCCGCCGGCAGCGCGUCACCGCCCUGCAGCUGCCGGGCGUUCCCCUCCAAGGGACGCUCACCCCUCACCUCGGUAACCUCUCUUUCCUCAUCGUCCUCAACCUCGCCAACACCAGCCUCACGGGGACACUCCCGGGUGAUAUAGGAAAGCUGCAUCGCCUGGAGCUCCUUGAUCUUGGCUACAAUGCCCUGUCAGGUAACAUUCCAGCCACCAUAGGAAACCUCACCAAACUUGAGCUUCUUGAUCUCCAGUUUAACCGGCUAUCUGGUCCAAUCCCAGCAGAGCUGCAGGGCCUGCGAAGCCUUGGCAGCAUGAAUCUCCGUAGGAACUAUCUCAGUGGCUCAAUUCCAGUUAGUGUAUUCAACAACACGCCUUUGUUAGCCUAUCUCAACAUUGGCAACAACAGUCUGUCAGGGCUAAUACCCACUGCGAUUGGCUCCUUGUCCAUGCUCCAGGUCCUUGUUCUUCAGUACAAUCAAUUGUCCGGCUCACUGCCCCCAACCAUCUUCAACAUGUCUAGACUUGAAAAGCUGCAGGCCAGUGACAACAAUCUGUCUGGACCUAUCCCAUUCCCAACUGGAAACCAAAGCACGAUUCAGUUGAUCUCACUCGCUUUCAACAGUUUCACGGGCCGAAUUCCACCAAGACUUGCGGCAUGCCGGGAACUCCAGCUGCUUGCGAUUUCAGGGAAUCUCUUGACGGAUCAUGUGCCGGAAUGGCUAGCAGGCUUGUCUCAGCUAAGUUCCAUCUCUCUUGCUGCAAAUGACCUUGUCGGUACGGUCCCAGCUGUGCUAAGCAAUCUCACCAAGCUCACCGUGCUUGAUCUGUCAUAUUCCAAGCUAAGUGGGAUGAUUCCAUUGGAACUAGGAAAGUUGAUACAGCUCAAUAUCUUGCACCUAUCAGCUAAUCAGCUAACUGGUCCUUUUCCUACUUCCCUUGGUAACUUGACAAAAUUAUCUUUGCUAGCAUUAGAUAGGAACCUGCUGACUGGACCACUACCUGUGACCCUUGGGAACCUCAGAUCUCUGUACCACCUUCAUAUUGCAGAAAAUCAUCUGCAAGGGGAACUUGAUUUCUUAGCCUAUCUCUCCAAUUGUAGGAAACUCCAAUUCCUCGAUAUAUCAAUGAAUUCUUUCUCAGGGAGCAUUCCUUCGAGUCUACUUGCAAACCUCUCUAUCAAUUUACUAAAGUUUUUUGCAGAAGAUAACAACUUGACCGGCAGUAUUCCUGCUACCAUAUCAAAUCUGACUAACCUGAAUCAAAUAAGCCUUGCUGACAACCAAAUAAGCGGCACUAUUUAUUGGAGAACCUACAGGAAUUGCACCUCUCUAUGAACAGUUUGUUUGGACCAAUUCCAGGACAAAUUGGAACCCUAAAAGGCAUGGUCACAUUAUCUCUUGGUGGCAACAAAAUUUCUAGUUCCAUCCCUAACGGUGUUGGCAACCUAAGCACGUUGCAGUACUUAUCGCUGUCAUAUAACUGGCUAUCAUCAUAUAUACCCGCAAGCUUAGUUAAUCUUAGUAAUCUUCUCCAACUAGAUAUAUCUCAUAAUAACUUAACUGGUGCAUUGCCUUCUGAUCUCAGCCCCUUGAAAGCAAUAGCCGGAAUGGACAUCUCUGCAAAUAAUUUGGUUGGUAGCCUCCCAACUUCAUGGGGACAGCUCCAACUGUUAAGCUACCUGAAUCUAUCUCAAAACACAUUCAAUGAUUUAAUUCCAGACUCUUUCAAAGGUCUAGUUAAUUUAGAAACAUUGGACCUGUCUCAUAACAAUCUUUCAGGAGGCAUACCAAAAUACUUUGCCAACUUAACCUUUCUUACUUCUCUGAACCUCUCCUUUAACAAUCUACAAGGUCAGAUACCAAGUGGAGGUGUUUUUUCAAACAUCACUCUGCAAUCUUUAAUGGGAAAUGCUAGACUCUGUGGUGCUCAACAUUUGGGAUUUCCUGCCUGUCUGGAGAAGUCCCACUCGACUAGAAGAAAACACUUGCUGAAGAUUGUGCUCCCUGCUGUCAUUGCGGCGUUUGGUGCCAUUGUUGUGUUACUAUACCUAAUGAUUGGAAAGAAAAUGAAGAAUCCAGAUAUUACGGCUUCUUUUGACACGGCAGAUGCGAUUUGCCACAGGCUAGUGUCCUACCAAGAAAUUGUUCGCGCUACCGAAAAUUUCAACGAGGACAACCUACUUGGAGUUGGAAGUUUUGGCAAAGUUUUCAAGGGUCGGCUGGACGACGGUUUGGUGGUUGCAAUCAAAAUCCUCAACAUGCAGGUUGAACGAGCUAUUAGGAGUUUUGAUGCAGAGUGCCAUGUCUUGCGGAUGGCCAGACAUCGCAACCUGAUAAAGAUACUGAAUACAUGUUCCAACUUAGAUUUCAGAGCACUGUUUCUUCAGUUCAUGCCCAAUGGAAACUUGGAGUCAUACUUGCACUCUGAAAGCAGGCCUUGUGUGGGAUCAUUCCUCAAAAGGAUGGAGAUUAUGCUAGAUGUGUCAAUGGCUAUGGAAUAUCUGCAUCAUGAACACCAUGAGGUCGUCCUGCAUUGUGAUUUGAAACCUAGCAAUGUGCUAUUUGAUGAAGAGAUGACUGCACACGUAGCAGACUUUGGCAUAGCAAAGAUGUUGUUAGAGGACGACAAUUCAGCAGUUUCAGCAAGCAUGCCAGGCACAAUUGGGUACAUGGCGCCAGAGUAUGCACUCAUGGGAAAGGCAUCACGGAAGAGCGAUGUGUUCAGCUUCGGAAUAAUGCUACUCGAGGUGUUCACUGGGAAGAGGCCUACAGAUCCCAUGUUCAUUGGUGGAUUGACCCUGAGGCUGUGGGUUUCUCAAUCAUUUCCUAAGAAUCUUAUUGAUGUUGCCGAUGAGCACCUACUGCAAGACGAAGAAACACGUCUUUGUUUUGAUUACCAGAACACUUCAUUGGGAUCUUCUUCGACUAGCAGGAGUAACAGCUUCCUUACGUCGAUAUUUGAGCUAGGCCUGUUGUGUUCGAGUGAGUCACCUGAGCAGAGGAUGGCUAUGAACGAUGUAGUUUCAAAGCUGAAAGGGAUCAAGAAAGAUUACUCUGCAUCUAUGCUGGAAAUGCAGAGGCGUCGGCAAUACUAGAUCAACCAUGUGUCGAUGUAAUUAACUCUGUAAAUUUUUCUUUGCUUUUCUUUGUUCCUUAAUGAAAUUGGCCGUCCAUCCUUUGGCCGGCCUGGCAAAAAAAUACUAGAUCAACCAGUCUAUAAUAUAUACGGCAGUGCAUAUGCGUUUUCCAUA